CACGUAGGCACCAAGCGUUGUCCGGAUUUACUGGGCGUAAAGGGCGUGCAGGCGGUCUGUUAAGUCUAGGGUGAAAGCUCCCGGCUCAACUGGGAGAGGUCCUUGGAUACUGGCGGACUUGAGGGAGGCAGAGGAGUAUGGAAUUCCCGGUGUAGUGGUGAUAUGCGUAGAUAUCGGGAGGAACACCAGUGGCGAAGGCGGUUCUCUGGGAAUGUCCUGACGCUGAGGAGCGAAAGUGUGGGGAGCGAACAGG
rnacentral:rRNA from 1 species